CCCCUCUCGGGGUCACACCUGGAGAGUUUUCAGUACUCUACCAGUCAUGACCACAGGAAGGAGAGUCAAGCAGAGGCAUACCCAUUCCAUUCCUGGCUUGGGCAGUGGCAAGUGAGUGGAAGGCAAUCUGCUACGAGU